ACGACAGAAUUUGAGAUUUAUCCUUUUCUAUAUCGAGCUAAAGAUUGGAACUCGUGAACCUUGAAAAAAAUGUCAACAAAAGUGUAGUAAUCUGAUACACACAUAUCGAUGGCGAUACGCAUUUCACGAAACUCGGAAUCGUUCGGCUGCAAGUAUACGGUGGUUGCUAUAUCAAAUUCAAUUUAGUCGUCAGUCGAAUGCGGUGUAGUACUUUCCAAUGAACAUUUUCUAUAGUACCAUGGAAAAAUUUUGCGAUUUAACUGUGAAAGUGUCCUCAUUGGACGUACGUUUGGCAGACCGCUCACAACUCUUUCAAAUUUUACCAUUUCUCGAAAGACAUUUGCCGUCUUCUUGUGAGACGCACUCGCUUGUACUUUCGGCAUUGUUAGCAUCGAAAGCAUCGUACGGCAUCUACUUCCUGCGGAAUCCGAACCGAAUGAAAAAAGAUGAUUAUUCAGCCAUUGUUGGUGUAAAGGGAGAGCAUAGACUUGAUUCUCAUAAUCAAACUCAGAAAGUAUGGAUUUUAGGAGGCUUGGGGCGUCAGCGAAACAGCUUUGCUCCGCGUUUACCAGGCUAUCGAUAGGAUCGAUUGGAAAUGUGAUAUCGUUUUAGCUUACAACCGAGCCCACCAUCCUCAUCCGGACUUUCUCAGGUUCUUCAGCGACCGCCAACGAAUACAAAUGCCAUUUCCUUUGCUGGAUCGGUAUGCAAUAGACGUAUCCAUGGCCCUCAAAAUGGAAAUCAAUUUACCUGAUGACGUCUAUGUCAAAAGUCUGGAACAAUGCCACGCCCCACUCGUCUUUGAAACCUGGCCGUACAAGUACCUCACCACAUUGCAAGACGUGUCUGAAGAGAUCGUUCACUUGCCCUCCGCUGGAAUUUUUCUCAAAUCCAACGAUAAACUUGUGGCCUGGAUAAUGUGCCAUCAUCCCAACGGAAUGAGUCGUCUUAUGACAUUGGAACAAUACCGGAGAAAAGGAUACGCAAGUAUAGUGACCAAGUAUCUGACGAAACGUGUGGCCCAAUCAGGACAUCUUCCAUACGUCAACAUUGCGAUCGACAACUCUGCUAGUAGCAAAUUCUUCAAAAGUUUAGGUUUCCGCUACUUGGAUGCUGGACACGUAUGGAUUACCUCACCUCGCGAUCCUCUUCGAGAUAAUGAGAUUGUCGUUUAUAAUAAUUCAGGAUUGCUUUAGUUCUUCUAGGAGGAGAUAAACAUCACAUACGAUACCGUUCUUAACAGGUUUCCUUGCACCCCUAGAUUCCCGCAAAACAAUCUGUACAACAAGUAGAAUAGAAAGCAAAUAAACGAAAAUAUCAACACGCA